UACGAAGGGGGCUAGCGUUGUUCGGAAUUACUGGGCGUAAAGCGCUCGCAGGCGGAUUGAUAAGUCGGGGGUGAAAUCCCGGGGCUCAACCUCGGAAUUGCCUUCGAUACUGUCAGUCUAGAGUCCGGGAGAGGUGAGUGGAAUUCCUAGUGUAGAGGUGAAAUUCGUAGAUAUUAGGAAGAACACCAGUGGCGAAGGCGGCUCACUGGCCCGGAACUGACGCUCAUGAGCGAAAGCGUGGGGAGCAAACAGG
rnacentral:rRNA from 1 species